rnacentral:pre_miRNA from 1 species
AAAAGUUCAUUUGGGCUUUUUCAUAAGAUGUUACAGAAAAACCCUGAUGAACUUUUUG